rnacentral:lncRNA from 1 species
AUAAAUGUAAUAAAUUAAUUAACUUGACACAUGAUUCUCUCUUUUGGUUUCUCUCAGAGUCUUCUUUUCGCGGGGUAUUCCAUAGGAUUUGACGUCGUUUCUUUUGGCUCUGCUAUUUUUAGGACUUUCCUAUUCAUCAAAUAAAUAUAUCCAUUUUCUAAGCGUAUUUGGAUUCUGUGUCCGAACAUGCCUUUCUAUAUCUAAUGUACAUAAAUUCAUAGUACCCGUGUCGUCAUAACAUUUGGAUUGAUGAAGGAUGUUGCGUAUUAUAUAUGGGACGUCAUGAACUAACUUAUUCAAAUGCACUUCUGGGUACUGGGAUUUUAGAGAGUAGGUUUUGCUCAUGGACAUUUUGAUUAGGGGAUUAUCUGCACUUUGAGGAUUGUAAGGACUUGAUGGAGACUAAAUGAUGAAAUACUUUUCCAAAAAUUCUUGGAACAUAUGGGAAGAGAAGAUUGUGUCUUGAUUUGAUCUCAGAUUCUUCGGGUAUACAAAGUUAACCAACCAUUUUGAUGUCUCAAUAAUUUUCUCCCUUGUGUUAUCUGAUUCUAUCAAGGAUAGAGUAAGACAAAUCUUAAAAAAUAACAAUAAAUAUAAUAACAUAUUAUAAUCUCCUUUCUCUUCAAAUCGGAAACAAAAUAUUAAUAUAUAAGUAUGUACAAUACACUCACGUUACCCCUAUUGUUUUCUUUCUUUCGAACUCAUCAUCAUAUAAUAUAAAUACAAAUCCCCAAUUCUCAAUAUAAUAAGAAGGUAAACAAAAGAUUUCAUAAAUAUAAUAAAUUAGAAUUAACUAAUUAAUUAACAUGAAACAUGACUAUCUUUUUUCUUUCUUUCUCGGGAGUCUCCUUUUCGUGUGGAAUUCGAUAGGAUAUGACGAUGUUUCUCUUGUCUCUGGGAUAUUUAUAAAUUUUCAAUUCCUUACAUAAAUGCAUCCAUUUUCCGGGUAUAUUUGGAUUCUGUGUAUCCAAACUCAACUUACAAAGAUUUAUGUAUAUAAAUCCUUAGUACCGGUGUCGUAAUAACAUUUGGAUUUAUACGGGAUAUUUGGUACGUCAUGAAUUAAUUUAUUAAGUGCACUACUGUGUGCAGGGAUUUUUGACACUAGAUUUUGUCCAUGAACUGUGCGAUUCGGAGAAUAUCUGUACUCGUGAGGUAUAUUUUCUAUACUCUAAUAAACCGCCUUUUAGCUCUUCUUAAUCGAUUGCUUUGGUUCAACAGAUUGUAAGGACUUGAAGGAGACCAAAUGAUGCCAUUGUUUUGCAUAAAUUCUUGGAACAUAUGGGACAAGAAGACUGUACCUUGAUCUGAUAUCAGAUUCUUCAGAUAUACAAAGUUAACAAAACAUUUUGAAAAUGUAUCUUUAAUUUUCUCCAUAUUUGGAUCUUUUGUGUAUUAUUCAAUUACCGUGGAUCCUGAUAAUUUAACCACACAUAACAGGUGAGAAGUUCCGUUUAACAUGAAUUAAUUUGUAGACAUUGAUAUAAAGAUUAGUUGUUGUAUAUUGUUAGGUUUUAAACUCUCUUGGCAUUGUGAAGGUUUUUUUUCCUUAAGUCUCACAGUUCGCAAUAAUCAUAUGAAUUUGUUGUUAAUUUUAGGAAAGAAAUUAACUAUCUGGUGCUUUUCUUUGGCUUUAGUCAUUCCUUGGUGCGGCAAAUGUAGUUUUCGCAAGAAUAUGUUAUCAGCUAGUUUUAAGGACGACAAUCUGUGUUCCUUGAAAUAUCAACCCGUCCAUAAUAGCUAAUUAUAAGAUCAUGUUCCUAAAUAGUCUUGCCUAAUGAUUUUCUACAUUUUUUUUCCUUUCAGAUAAUUAUGGAUCAACGAAACCAAAAUUUCGAAUUUUAUCUGGCAUGACAGCUACUCUAAUCAUAACUAUUCUAAUUGCGUUUUUUAUUCCACAGUCUAUUUUUUCUUUAUCUCUUCCAGGAUCAUCUCCUUUAGCUGGUGACUAAAGCAUCUACAACAAUAUGCUAUAUGAUAAUAAACUGGUAAUGCUGAAGCAACAAUCUAAUUUUCAUUACUUUGGCGUUUUGAUUUAUUUUAAGGAAUAGUUAUUGAAGGCUGUGCAGAGAGAAUGAUGAUCGGUUAUGACUUUGAAGGGAGGUAGUCCACUGAGGUAGAUAUGACACUUAUAAUAUCCAUUUGAUGAGAAUGACUUCUAAUUUGAUCAUUGCAUAUCCUGACUUUAUUUCAUUGAUAAAUCUCAUACCACAUUGAAUUAGUUUCCAUCUGUCUCUAUAUUGUACAUGACUUGAAGUGAACAAUAUCACAUUUGAAUUCAUUUAUUUGUCUUCAACAAGUCUUUUAAUGGUACCGCUACUCUGCUCAAUUAUGAGGAGUGGGAAUUUUGAAAAUAUUAUUCAAUUUAUUUUCAAUGACGGAAAAUCAGUUCUUAUUUAUUUUGUAUCCGACAAAAUCAUUUUCUUCUUUUGCAAUUUGAAAUUUCUCAAGACUUAAUGUGAUUCCAAAUCUCAUGCAUUUUUUUAGGAUUUUCUUACUCUCCUAAUUCAUUCUCAAAGUCUUAGUCGUCAACGAAGAUAUCCUCAACUACUUUAUGAACAUUUGUUAUGUCUUCCAGUGCAAUUUCACACCAACUAUUAUACGCGUAUUCCUUUUUCUCUUAAGUUUCACAGUUCUCAAUAAUCAUAUCAAUACCUUUGUUAAUUGCAGGACAGAAAUCGACUCUCUGACCCUUUUUUUUGUUUUGCGAUAUUUAUCGCAAAACCUACCUUGGUGCGACAAAUGUAGUUUCGCAAGAAUUGUUUUUUUUUUGGCUAGUUUUAAGAACGACAAUCUGUGUUCCUUUAAAAACUAAAACGUCAUUAACAGAUAAAUUUAAGAUCAUGUUCCUAAUUAUUAAUUCGUCAUGAUUUUCUACAAUUCCUUAUUCUUACAGAUAAUAUACCAAAGAUUGCACGAGUGCUCGAUAGACUUCAUCUGUUUUCGUUAUCCUUCCUAUCUCUUCAAUUAUUCGAACAACGAAACAAAAAUUAACGAUUUUAUGUUUUAUUACCGCUACUCUAAUUAUAAAUAAUCUUAUCGUACGGUUCAUUCCACCGUCUAAUUUUACGUCUUCUCUUCCAAGAUCAUCGAUGGGAUGUAAUGACGUAGUAUCAAAACAAUAAGUCAUAUUCCGUUCUUUCAUGAUACUUUGAACUGGUAAUGAUAUAAGCUCAAUCUAAUCUUCUGUACGUUGGUGUUUUCGAUUUGGUUUAAAGAAUAGUUAUUGAAGAUUGUGCAGAAAGAAUAAUGAUUAGUAGUGACUUCGAAGCAAUUGGAUGGCAAGAACUUAUAACUCUAUAUUUGCAUAGCUUGAGUUGUUUCACUGAUAAAUUUCUAAACACAUUCAAUUAUUUAACAUCUUUUUCCAACCCGUUGAGAUAAAAAUAAUCCAAGAACUUUAGUUCUGGAUACUUUUUUCUCUUAACUCGUUUCUCUGAGCGGAUAAAAACAGUAAUAGCAUUUGUUGCUUAAAUAACAUACAUUUGAUAUUUUGCACGCCUUGAAGGGAACAAAAUCACAUUUGAAUUCAUUUAUUUGUGUUCAACAAGUCUUUUAAUUGUACUGCAACUAUGCUCAAUUAUGAGGUAAAAGAUGUUAAUUGAUUAGCCAUACCCAUAAAUGACCUAAAUUAUUUUCUGUUUCUAGAAGUAGGAAAUUUGCGAAUAAUAUUAAAUAUAUUUUAAUUGACGAAAAUUCCAUUCUGAUUUAUUUUGUAUCCUACAAAAUCAUUUUCUUCUUUUGCAAAUUGAAAUGUCUCUAGACUUAAUGUGAUUCCAAAUUCCAUGAAUAUUUUCAGGAUUCUUGUUACUCUCUUAAUUUCAUUCUCAAGGUAUUUGUCGUCAACAAGUAUAUUCUUAACUACUUUAUGAAGAUUUGGAAUGUCUUUUAAAGUAAUAUCUUCCCUAUAGAGCUUUGCCUAUGAUUUUUUUUUCUUUUUUUUUUAAAUCUCAUAUGUUCGAUUAGGAAGGUUUUAUCCCCUAUGUGUUAUCCGACUUUAUCAUUAAUAUAUUGUUUGAAUAAUCAGCGCGGGAAAUUUAUGUCUUGACAUAUAUAUUCUAUAUUCAAAAACGGGUGAGAUGUAUCAUUAAUAAUAUUGAGAAAGAUAUAGACAUAUUUCUUCCAUAUUCGGAUCUUUUGUGUAUUAUUCAAUUACCGUGGAUCCUGAUAAUGUAACCACACAUAACAGGUGAGAAGUUCCGUUUAAUAUGAAUUAAUUCGUAGACAUUGAUAUAAAUAUUAGUUAUUGUAUAUUGUUAGGUUUUAGACUCUCUUGGCAUUGUGAAGGGGUUUUGUUUCUUAAGAUUCACAGUUUUCAAUAAUCAUAUCGAUUUCUUAGUUAAUUGCAGGACAGAAAUCGACUAUCGGGUUUAGUCAUUCCUUGGUGCAACAAAUGUAGUUUCGCAAGAAUUGUUUUUUUGGCUAGUUUUAAAGACGACAAUCUGUGUUCCUUUAAAAACUAAAACGUCAUUAACAGAUAAAUUGAAGAUCAUGUUCCUAAUUAUUAAUUCGUAAUGAUUUUCUACACUUCCUUAUUCUUACAGAUAAUAUACCAAAGAUUGCACGAGUGCUCUUCAUCUGUUUUCGUUAUCCUUCGUAUCUCUUCAAUUAUUGGAUCAACGAAACAAAAAUUUCGGAUUUUAUGUUUUAUUACCGCUACUCUAAUUAUAAAUGAUCUUAUUGUACUGUUCAUUCCACCGUCUAAUUUUAUGUUUUCUCUUCCAAGAUCAUGGAGGUAAUGACUUAGUAUCAACAACAAUAUGUUAUUUUCUGUUCUUUCAGGAUAUUUUGAACUGGUAAUCAUAUAAGCACAAUCUAACCUUCUGAAUGUUGGUGUUUUCGAUUUGGUUUAAAGAAUAGUUAUUGAAGAUUGUGCUGAAAGAAUAAUGGUUGGUAAUGACUUCGAAGCAAUUGUAUGGCAAGAGCUUAUAUGUAGACAUGAGAUAUAUCUUUAAUAAUAUUAAUAAAAAAAUAUACAUAUUACUUCCAUAUUGGGAUCUUUUUUAUAUUAUUCAAUUACAAAUAUUAGUUGUUGUAUAUUUUUAGGUUUUAAACUCUCUUGGCAUUGUGAGGGGGAUAUUCUUUGAUAAGUUUCACAUUUCUCAACAAUCAUAUGAAUUUGUUGUUAAUUUUAGGAAAGAAAUUCAUUAUCUGGUCCUUUUCUUUGGCUUUAGUCAUUCCUUGGUGCGGCAAAUGUAGUUUUAGCAAGUUUAUGUUAUCGGCUAGUUUUAAGGGCAACAAUCUGUGUUCCUCUAAAUAGCAAGCCGUCCUUAAUGGCUAAAUAAUUAUGGAUCAACGUAACCAAAAUUUCGAAUUUUAUCUGGCAUGACAUCUACUCUAAUCAUAACUAUUCUAAUCGAGUUUUUUAUUCCACAGUCUAUUUUUUCUUCAUCU